AUUGAACGCUGGCGGCAGGCCUAACACAUGCAAGUCGAGCGGAUGAAGGGAGCUUGCUCCUGGAUUCAGCGGCGGACGGGUGAGUAAUGCCUAGGAAUCUGCCUGGUAGUGGGGGAUAACGUCCGGAAACGGGCGCUAAUACCGCAUACGUCCUGAGGGAGAAAGUGGGGGAUCUUCGGACCUCACGCUAUCAGAUGAGCCUAGGUCGGAUUAGCUAGUUGGUGGGGUAAAGGCCUACCAAGGCGACGAUCCGUAACUCGUCUGAGAGGAUGAUCAGUCACACUGGAACUGAGACACGGUCCAGACUCCUACGGGAGGCAGCAGUGGGGAAUAUUGGACGAUGGGCGAAAGCCUGAUCCAGCCAUGCCGCGUGUGUGAAGAAGGUCUUCGGAUUGUAAAGCACUUUAAGUUGGGAGGAAGGGCAGUAAGUUAAUACCUUGCUGUUUUGACGUUACCAACAGAAUAAGCACCGGCUAACUUCGUG
rnacentral:rRNA from 1 species